UACGAAGGGGGCUAGCGUUGCUCGGAAUCACUGGGCGUAAAGGGCGCGUAGGCGGACUCUUAAGUCGGGGGUGAAAGCCCAGGGCUCAACCCUGGAAUUGCCUUCGAUACUGAGAGUCUUGAGUUCGGAAGAGGUUGGUGGAACUGCGAGUGUAGAGGUGAAAUUCGUAGAUAUUCGCAAGAACACCAGUGGCGAAGGCGGCCAACUGGUCCGAUACUGACGCUGAGGCGCGAAAGCGUGGGGAGCAAACAGGAUUAGAUACCCUAGUAGUCCACGCCGUAAACGAUGAAUGCCAGCCGUUGGGGUGCAUGCACUUCAGUGGCGCAGCUAACGCUUUAAGCAUUCCGCCUGGGGAGUACGGUCGCAAGAUUAAAACUCAAA
rnacentral:rRNA from 1 species